rfam:Triticum urartu cultivar G1812 contig1018841, whole genome shotgun sequence.
UUAGUACUCCCUCCGUCCGAAAAUAUUUGUCGAAAGAAUGAAUGUAUCUAGACGUAUUUUAGUUUUAAAUACAUCAAUUUUUAUCCAUUUGUCCGGCAAAUAUUUACGGACGGGGGGAGUAUUGU